ensembl:lncRNA
GCUUGCAACUCCUUGCGUCAAGGUCCUUUCCUUUGGGAUAUCAGUUAAUCUAGGUAACAGCAGUAUGGCACUCAAUACUCUCAGACACUCCCCCGCAGGCUGUUUCCUCAGUGAUGUCACAGUGAUGUCACAGACCUAGGCAUGUGUUCACAAGGCUCAGAAAAGGGAGGGAAGUAAACUGGCUGUGACUCUCGAAAUUACAUCAGGUGGGAUCCUGCAACUGCACAGGGUUCCCGUGGGGAAACGACUGCUGUGGGACAUCAGACCCCAAUUCCAGGUGCACAAGAAGACGUCUCCCUGCAGUUUCAAAGCUGUGUAAAUGCAUUCCUAGGACACAAUGUGCUAUCCGUGAAUGGUGGGAUGCUGCAACUACACAGAUUUCCCAUGGGGAAAUUACUUCUUUGGGACAUCAGACCCCAAUUCCAGGUGCACAAAAAGAUGUCUCCCUGCAGUUUCAAAGCUGUGUAAAUGCAUCCUAGGACACAAUGUUCUAUCCUUGAAUGUUGACUUUUUUAUGUUUUUGCACUGAUCAGCUAAAACUAUACUGUCAGAGGCCUUCCCGUCAAGAAGUGGUAAGCAGCAGGUUUCUUCAGAAAACACAAGUACUUGAGGAGCCUUGUGGUCCUAAUGAAGCAAAAAUGCCCCCGUGUGCUUUUCUAUCAGGCUGGAGAUUGCCAAGUAUUUCAGGUUCGCUAGGUGCAAAUGCCGGAGAAGGCAAUGGCACCCUACUCCAGUACUCUUGCCUGGAAAAUCCCAUGGAUGGAGGAGCCUGGAAGGCUGCAGUCCAUGGGGUUGCUGAGGGUCGGACAUGACUGAGCGACUUCACUUCCACAUUUUCUCCAUUUUUCUCUCUGUGAGACAUGUCAGAUUUAUGUCCUAAGGGUAUAUAUUAGGGUAUGAAAUUUUCAGCUCCCUAUUCUGCUUUAUGACCUUAUUUGGAAGGAUGUGAUGUAUAUCCUGGGACAGGCGCUAACUUCUGAGUCAACAACUUGAGUUUUAUGGGAAGCUGUUGCCCAUGGAGAUGAAUGGCUUGGCAAGGAAUCAUUAGGGAAGAGGGAGGAUGAGAUAGCUGCCCUCCCCACUGGGGAUCAGGCAGUCCCAACUAUAGAACCAGAUUGGGACUAAAACAUGGCUAAAGGAUAAUGGGAUAAGAGUCAUUUUGUCAGAUGUGUUCUUGAAGGACUCAGGCAAUGAUGCUAAAUUGGCAAACAUAGAACAGGAAGAGAAGGAAGCUUCUGGUAAAUUCCUAGAUAGACUGAGGGAAGCCCUUUGCAGAUUCACUGAGAUUGAUCCUGAAAGUGAUGAGGGAAGGGUAAUCUUAAAAGAUAGAUUUCUUAUUCAGUCAGCUCCAGAUAUCCACUGUAAGCUACUAAAACAUGUGUAUGGACCAAAUCAGUCUUUAGAUAAUCUGUUGCAACUGGCUCAGUCAGUCUAUUAUGGCAGGGAAUAUGAGGGAAGAAAGAAAGGCAGAGAAAGACCAAGAUACUGGCAGAAGCCCUUGUAAUGGCUGUCAGGACUGUUCUUAAACAGCCUGAGAAAAAUUCCAGGAGAGACCCAGGUGAAUGGGGAUGGGCUUGCUAUUACUGUGGAAAGGAGGAGCACCUCAAGCAGGAUUGCCCUCAGGCAUCUAAGGGGUCCCCAGCUCCAUGUCUGGUCUUGCAAGGGACCACACUGGAGGAGAGACUGCCCCCAGAGGCGUAGGUCCCAGUGGUGGGACUCUCAAGACAACCAGGACUGAAUGUACCCGGGGGUCCCCACACAAACUCCCACCCUAAUUACAGCUGAGGAACACCAGGUAUUAGUAACUGUGGGUGGCCAAUCUGUCAAUUUCCUUGUGGACACCAGGGCAAUUUACUCUGUGCUUAUUGAAGCCCCUGGUCCACUUUCUCCCCAAUCCGCUUCCAUAAUGGGACUGUCUGGAUGAGCCAAAUAUUAAUAUUUCAGUCAUCCUCUAAGCUGCAACUGGGACUUUGUGCUAUUUUUACAGAGUGCCAGAUUGCGCCAGAGUCUCCCUCACCCCUUUUGGGGAGGGAUAUACUGAGCAAGGUCCAUGCCUCUGUUUGAUGAAUAUGGAGCCCUUCCUUUCUCUCCCUUUAUUUGAACAAAAUGUAAAUCCUAAAGUGUGAGCUGACGGAAAAUCUGUGGGUUGAGCACAAAAUGCUAUUCCUGUAGUUGUGAAGCUGAAAAACCCACUCAUAUUUCCACAUCAAAAGCAGUAUCCACUGAAACCCGAGGUUAAAGAAGGGUUAAAGCCCAUCAUCGAGAUUUUAAAGGAGCAGGGGCUAUUAAUUCCCUG